rnacentral:sRNA from 1 species
CUUAAAGAUAUGCCAAGGUAGAUGAAGGAUUUAGAUGUGAAAUAAAUGAAUACAAAGAAGAAAAUGAAAAGUUGCACCUAUCCAAAGGAAAUCAAUUUCAAAUAUUUUGUUUAGAGUGGGAAACUGUGAAAAGCUCAGAACCUGUUAAAGAGACGGUCCAGACAACUCAGAGCCCAACUCCAGUUGAAAAGGAGACAGUGGUCACAACCCAGGCAGAGGUUGCAGUGAGCCAAGAUCACACCACUGUGCUCCAGCCUGGGUAACAGAGCAAUUACUUUGUC